UCUCCACACUGGUCAGCUCCAGGCUGCCUCUCUUCUGAGGCCUAGGCUGUGAGUAGUGCCUGCCAAUCUCAACUGUCCAUCAAUAGGCUGUCCUGGGAGUCCGGCUCACCACCCUUGUCAGCUCUCUGUAACGUCGCGCUGCCUCGUGAAGUGAAUUAGAAAGAUGGUUACAUCGCAGCAAAAUGAAGUGUAAAGAGCAUUGUCUCCCCUAAAAGCAUCUGAGUCAAUUUGGACCCAGGCUUAUGGGACUGUCCGACAUGGAGAUCCAAUUUCUUUCGCAGGUCAAGGCUCGGAGGUGUCUAAGUAAUGAAGAAACCCUGGCAGUGGGCAGGGAUGUGAGCCCCCUCAUCUAACCAAACACACUUCGCACCCAGUAGCCCUGCCAGUCAGCUGAUUUCAUCCUGCUCUGUUUCCAAGGACCUUGAACCUACAAAAUACACUCAACUCAGGUAGGGAAGUCACGGCCCAAAGAACAGAAUGUCUCGAAACUUACGGAGUAGACACCUCCCAUCAAAACAGAGUAUGGGCCAUUAGUAUGCCUGUGAAUGUUCUGAUGCACACAUGGGGGAAGGGGCUAGGCUUGAUUAGCUCGAAUAACAUAUUAUAACCCAGUUUAUUCAGGACAUCGCUCGCUGCUUCACUCUAUAACUAACAUAAGCCACUGUGAAGAGGAUUUUUACACCAUUUAGUGUAUCUUCAAAAAGUCACUAUGUGCUUUCCUCCCCAACACACCUCACAGGCUGGGCCAGCAUGUGGGGCUCAUGACUGCCAUUUGGGGACAGCCAGCUCUGGAGAGACUGAGUGGAAGGCUCCAGCCCCUGUAUCUUAUGUCUGUGUCCUGGGAGAGAGCAGAAGCAGGAACUUAGUAAGUAGAGCAGAUGACUUUUAGAGCCAAGCUAGACUGCGUACA
rnacentral:sRNA from 1 species